rnacentral:rRNA from 1 species
GGCGAACGCUGGCGGCGUGCCUAAUACAUGCAAGUAGAACGCUGAAGGAGGAGCUUGCUUCUUCGGAUGAGUUGCGAACGGGUGAGUAACGCGUAGGUAACCUGCCUGGUAGCGGGGGAUAACUAUUGGAAACGAUAGCUAAUACCGCAUAACAGUAGAUGUUGCAUGACAUUUGCUUAAAAGGUGCAAUUGCAUCACUACCAGAUGGACCUGCGUUGUAUUAGCUAGUUGGUGGGGUAACGGCUCACCAAGGCGACGAUACAUAGCCGACCUGAGAGGGUGAUCGGCCACACUGGGACUGAGACACGGCCCAGACUCCUACGGGAGGCAGCAGUAGGGAAUCUUCGGCAAUGGACGGAAGUCUGACCGAGCAACGCCGCGUGAGUGAAGAAGGUUUUCGGAUCGUAAAGCCCUGUUGUAAGAGAAGAACGAGUGUGAGAGUGGAAAGUUCACACUGUGACGGUAUCUUACCAGAAAGGGACGGCUAACUACGUGCCAGCAGCCGCGGUAAUACGUAGGUCUCGAGCGUUGUCCGGAUUUAUUGGGCGUAAAGCGAGCGCAGGCGGUUAGAUAAGUCUGAAGUUAAAGGCUGUGGCUUAACCAUAGUACGCUUUGGAAACUGUUUAACUUGAGUGCAAGAGGGGAGAGUGGAAUUCCAUGUGUAGCGGUGAAAUGCGUAGAUAUAUGGAGGAACACCGGUGGCGAAAGCGGCUCUCUGGCUUGUAACUGACGCUGAGGCUCGAAAGCGUGGGGAGCAAACAGG